rnacentral:rRNA from 1 species
CAUGACUGGGGUGAAGUCGUAACAAGGUAACCGUAGGGGAACCUGCGGUUGGAUCACCUCCUUACCAAAGA